UGAAAGUGAAUAUGUGAGCUCUAAUCUCCAUAACUGGAUUGACCUCAUAGAUCAGGAGGUGUUGAUCAGGAGCAGCUAAUCAGGAGCCUCAUCAACCAAACUGCAGGGAAAGCAUUAUAAUACCAUAGCAACACUAUGUGACAUGUAUGCUUUCUUGGUGUUCCUUUUUGUCGUUUUUAUCUGGUGUUCUCAUCUAGCCAUAUCUAUCGUAACAACACCCAAGAGGUCCGUGAAUAUGAUGGGUUAGCGUUUAGUACUCUAUACAAGAGUACUGGACUGCAAGCCAUUGAUGAGAUUGUCC